UGGGGAAUAUUGGACAAUGGGCGAAAGCCUGAUCCAGCCAUGCCGCGUGUGUGAAGAAGGUCUUCGGAUUGUAAAGCACUUUAAGCGAGGAGGAGGGUACUGGUAUUAAUACUACCAGGUACUGGACGUUACUCGCAGAAUAAGCACCGGCUAACUCUGUGCCAGCAGCCGCGGUAAUACAGAGGGUGCGAGCGUUAAUCGGAUUUACUGGGCGUAAAGCGUGCGUAGGCGGCUAAUUGAGUCGGAUGUGAAAUCCCCGAGCUUAACUUGGGAAUUGCAUUCGAUACUGGUUAGCUAGAGUGUGGGAGAGGAUGGUAGAAUUCCAGGUGUAGCGGUGAAAUGCGUAGAGAUCUGGAGGAAUACCGAUGGCGAAGGCAGCCAUCUGGCCUAACACUGACGCUGAGAUACGAAAGCAUGGGGAGCAAACAGG
rnacentral:rRNA from 1 species